rnacentral:SRP_RNA from 2 species
GCUGAGCAAGUAGCGACUGCUUGUCACCCGAGCGGGGGCAACAAGGUGGUGUGGAUGCCAAUUGUGGCGCUUGGACCUGGGCUUGGUGUUGCAUUGUGUGUGGCCCGCCCGUUCCAAGUUGGUAGUGGGUUGUGGGCACUUUGGCGAAAGCCUUGGUGUCUCAGCACCUAGAGCGGUGGGCAUUGCGUGAGGCUGGUUUAACAGAGCAGCGAAUACCACCCGCUUUCAACGGUGGAAGGAUAACGAGCCGCUGCACUCCAGACCCACUUAGGCCCAUGUGCCCUCUCUGGCAGACCACCAUUUUU